CCCUUAGAUGUCCUGGGCCGCACGCGCGCUACACUGAACGGAUCAGCGCGUUUUCCCUUCCCGAGAGGGACGGGUAACCUGCUGAACCCCGUUCGUGGUAGGGAUCGGGGCUUGCAAUUAUUCCCCGUGAACCAGGAAUGCCCAGUAAGUGCAAGUCAUAAGCUUGCGUUGAUUACGUCCCUGCCCUUUGUACACACCGCCCGUCGUUACUACCGAUUGAACGUUUUAGUGAGGUACUCGGACUGAGCCUCAGAAGAUUCACGUCUUUUGUGCUGCUCGGGAAGAUUCCCAAACUUGAGCGUUUAGAGGAAGUAAAAGUCGUAACA
rnacentral:rRNA from 1 species